CCCGCUCAGAAACUAAAUAGAAUUGACGGGGGCCCGGCACAAGCAGCGGAGCAUGUGGUUUAAUUCGAAGCAACGCGAGGAACCUUACCUAGACUUGACAUCUCCUGAAUUACUCUGUAAUGGAGGAAGCCACUUCGGUGGCAGGAAGACAGGUGGUGCAUGGUUGUCGUCAGCUCGUGUCGUGAGAUGUUGGGUUAAGUCCCGCAACGAGCGCAACCCUUAUUGUUAGUUGCUACCAUUAAGUUGAGCACUCUAGCAAGACUGCCGUGGUUAACGCGGAGGAAGGUGGGGAUGACGUCAAAUCAUCAUGCCCCUUAUGUCUAGGGCUACACACGUGCUACAAUGGCGAGUACAAAGAGACGCAAAGCCGCGAGGUGGAGCAAAACUUAUAAAACUCGUCUCAGUUCGGAUUGCAGGCUGAAACUCGCCUGCAUGAAGCUGGAGUUGCUAGUAAUCGCGAAUCAGAAUGUCGCGGUGAAUACGUUCCCGGGCCUU
rnacentral:rRNA from 1 species